rnacentral:sRNA from 1 species
GGGGUUUGGAUGCUGCCGCUGCAGUCGAUUAUGCUCGCAGCCUUCGAAUCAUGACGGAUACCUGUGGCAAAGCGACCAUCGUGACCCUCUACCAGGCAUCUGACGCUGUUUACAGCUUUGCCGAUAGGGUUAUGAUCAUCGAUGAAGGCCGUAUGUUAUACCAGGGGCCUGCGAACAAAGCCAAGUCGUAUUUCGAGAACUUGGGCUACAAGUGUCAUCCUAGACAAACGAUCACCGAUUUCCUGACUGGUAUAACAUCUGACCGAACGAGAGCUUUUCGGGAUGGGUAUGAGACACGCGCUCCAAAGGGUGCAGUUGAGUU